AUUCCAGUAAUGAGAAGAUCCAGAAGCAUUUGAAAGUAUUCAUGUCAAUGAACAGCCAAAGUAGAGAAAAGAUGUAUACAGCCAACAUCUUCAUGCCCCAGGAGCCCAAGUUUGGAGAUCUUUGUUUCAUUCUCAAAGGACAGCUCUACUUAUCCUUCCAAUGAUCACUGCCAAGUUCUCUUUAGCCAUGGGAACAGCAGAGAUUUCUGCCUUGGUUGCACAGAAGGAAGGAAUACACAUAGAAAUGAACACUAUUUGAGGAGCGAAUACAGCUGGAUAAUAAAAGAAGAGACUUUUUUUUCAAAGCUGUUCAUUUUUCAAUCCGCAAGAAUUAAGAUAUAAUUACAAAAUGACUGUCACAUGGAAUAUUAUUUGACUCCUGAGAAUGAAAGCUUUCUUUUUUAUGUAAGCAGAGAGAAAUAAAGGUUGGUGUCUCUGCGGCUUAUUUCCCUAACACCGCUGCCACCUAUGUUCCCACUGUCUCUACUCCAC
rnacentral:lncRNA from 1 species